AGUGAACGCUGGCGGCGUGCCUAACACAUGCAAGUCGAGCGAAUUCCGACAGCUUAUCGUUAGAGUUAGCGGCAGACGGGUGAGUAUUACUUGGGCAAUCUACCUUCAGAUGGGAGACAACCUGCCGAAAGGCGGGCUAAUAUCCCGUAAGACCACAGGAUGGCAUCAUCCAGGGGUAAAAGCUCCGCAAGGGGCGUCAGAAGAGGAGCCCGAGACCUAUCACGGUAGUUGGUGAGGUAACGGCUCACCAAGCCUUCGACGGGUAGCCGGCCUGAAAGGGUGAUCGGGCCACACUGGGCACUGAGACACGGGCCAGACUCCUACGGGAGGCAGCAGUGGGGAAUUUUUGGACAAUGGGGGCAACCCUGGAUCCAGCGACGCCGCGUGGAGGACGAAGGGUCUUCGGGAUUGUAAACUCCUUUUGAAGGGG
rnacentral:rRNA from 1 species